ACUAAUCUGGUAGCUUCUGGUGCUAAUGAAUCUGAAAUCUACAUAUGGGAUCUAAAUAAUUUUGCAACCCCAAUGACACCAGGAGCCAAAACACAGCCGCCAGAAGAUAUCAGCUGCAUUGCAUGGAACAGACAAGUUCAGCAUAUUUUAGCAUCAGCCAGUCCCAGUGGCCGGGCCACUGUAUGGGAUCUUAGAAAAAAUGAGCCAAUCAUCAAAGUCAGUGACCAUAGUAACAGAAUGCAUUGUUCUGGGUUGGCAUGGCAUCCUGAUGUUGCUACUCAGAUGGUCCUUGCCUCCGAGGAUGACCGGUUACCAGUGAUCCAGAUGUGGGAUCUUCGAUUUGCUUCCUCUCCACUUCGUGUCCUGGAAAACCAUGCCAG
rnacentral:circRNA from 1 species